rnacentral:rRNA from 1 species
GCGUUGUUCGGAUUCAUUGGGCGUAAAGGGUGCGUAGGUGGCGCCAUAAGUCGGGUGUGAAAUUUCGGAGCUUAACUCCGAAACUGCAUUCGAUACUGUGGUGCUUGAGGACUGGAGAGGAGACUGGAACUCACGGUGUAGCAGUGAAAUGCGUAGAGAUCGUGAGGAAGACCAGUGGCGAAGGCGGGUCUCUGGACAGUCCCUGACACUGAGGCACGAAGGCUAG